GCGGAGGAGGCUGCAGCGUGUGGAUGUUUGUGUUGGGCACCUUUAACAUCUAGGAGCGCUCCACAGAUAGAAAGCAUAAAACAAUACAAAGCAUCAGACUCGACACACCAGAAAUAAAGUGACUGGUAAAUGCCCGGAGCAUCCAGUGCACAGAUGGGGCCGGUUUUUAACCAGCGCCUCGUCGGGUGCUUGUUCGGGGCCUCUCGUGUCUGACUGGGCUCUGUGCGGGUUGAUGAGGGCGGUGCAGGAGCCGUAAUCAGCCCAGUCCUUGUACAAACACGUGUGCGUGUGUGUGUGUGUGUGGCCUCAGCUGUGCAGUCGCUCCACAUUCAGGACACGGCCGUGUGUUUGUUAACAUGGAGAUAAUAAAAUCUCAUAGAGUAAUAAAAAUAUUAGACAAUGCAAAGCUUUGGGCUAAAAUAGAACAAUCUGAGACAUUUUUAUCUGUAAAUACAUGGCUGUGUUUAUUAAUAGUGUGUAAGGUUUGAUUAAUGCUGCAGAGUGAAUCCUGCAGCACAGCGGACGCGUCUCGGCCUGUUGUUGCGCCGCGCGGCCACCAGGGGGCAGUGUUUAUCUGCAGUGCGUCGCCAGAGUAAACAGCCGGGGCUAAUUGAUGUCAGGUGCUGGAUCCGGCUCAGCGCUUCAAACACUUGCAAAACAGAAAAGUUCAACACAAACGCCUCAGACGUCGAGCAGAUUUAAAUGUGAUCCAAACACUAAGAGGGCGCCACCGUUGCAGAGCGUCCGGUCCGUUUGCGUUGAGCCCAGCGGGUCUUUGUCCCCACCUGCUCGGACCCCGGCCGCCUUUUGAUUUAAUUAAAGCCAAGAAGGUGCAUCCAUUUCAGCGUGCGCCGGGGACGUGACAGUACACAAAUUGAAACAGCAAUUAUGAAUCCGGACCCGUCUCCCUCCCAGAUGAGUCUCCGGCUCGGACCCGGGCUUCCGGCGGAAGUGAACGGGCUCCGAGGCCCAUUAAUGAACAGCAGAGGCGCUCACGGUUGCCUCCAUUGUAUCAGAAUGGAUGUCUGUCCACGCGCCAAGUGGCCAUUAGCGCCAAUAUGCCAAUAUGCCUGUACACCCAACAGGCUCAGGAUCCUAGUGAUCCCAGCACUCAGCCAGUCAGCAGCUGAUUCCUGCAGCAUUAAAACUGUAUCAACAUACUAAUGAGCAAUAAACAUUUAUCAACUGUGAUA